UUGAUUUAGAACUUGGCUCUGUUAUUUGACCUUGGGCAGAAAUGCCUUUGCAAGUUCCAAUAAAUCAACGCAAGGAAACUUGCAGUAUUUUUGCAGGAGAGAGCUUUGCGACAGAAAGGAUGAUUCCAGAAUUGCUUCAUAAAUAAAACAAAAGCAAGAAAUAAAUUUGAUACCAGAUAUAUGUUACCAAUUUUUGAAGAAGAACAAUCAAAAGACUUAAAGAGGACCCAAGAUUCAACAAGGUGAUCUCAGGCUCUUCUGUACCCAUUACCACACCCUUCUAAAUCUGAGUUUGCAAUAGGGAAAGAUUUUAUGAAACAAGUUGAAGUUUACACUUCAAUGAAUCAUUUGUCCUUAGUCACAAAA